AUUGAAAGCUGGCGGCAGGCCUAACACAUGCACGUCGAACGCGUGGCGGACGGGUGAGUAAUGUCUGGGGCACUGCCUGAUGGAGGGGUAUAACUACUGGAAACGGUAGCUAAUACCGCAUACCAUCAGAUGUGCCCAGAUGGGAUGAGCUUGUUGGUGGGGUACCGGCUCACCAAGGCGACGACCCCUAGCUGGUCGGAGAGGAUGACCAUCCACACUGGAACUGAGACCCGGUCCAGACUCCUACGGGAGGCAGCAGUGGGGAAUAUUGCGCAAGGGGUGCAAGCCUGAUGCAGCCAGGCCGCGUGUAUGAAUGCGGCCUGCGGGUUGGAAAGGACUUUCGGCGGGGAGGCGUUACCCGGCGAAGAAGCACCUGCUAACUCCGUGCCAGCAGCCGCGGUAAUUC
rnacentral:rRNA from 1 species